UACGUAGGCGGUUUAUUAAGUCAGAUGUGAAAGCCCGGGCUUAACCUGGGAACUGCAUUUGAUACUGGUAAACUAGAGUAUGGUAGAGGGGGGUAGAAUUCCUAGUGUAGCGGUGAAAUGCGUAGAUAUUAGGAGGAAUACCAGUGGCGAAGGCGGCCCCCUGGACCAAUACUGACGCUGAGGUACGAAAGCGUGGGUAGCGAACA
rnacentral:rRNA from 1 species